rnacentral:rRNA from 1 species
AUUGAACGCUGGCGGAAUGCUUUACACAUGCAAGUCGAACGGUAGAGGGGGCAACCCCUCGAGAGUGGCGAACGGGUGAGUAAUAUAUCGGAACGUGCCCAGUCGUGGGGGAUAACGUAGCGAAAGUUACGCUAAUACCGCAUACGAUCUAAGGAUGAAAGCGGGGGAUCGCAAGACCUCGCGCGAUUGGAGCGGCCGAUAUCAGAUUAGGUAGUUGGUGGGGUAAAGGCUCACCAAGCCAACGAUCUGUAGCUGGUCUGAGAGGACGACCAGCCACACUGGAGCUGGGACACGGUCCAGAAUCCUACGGGAGGCAGCAGUGUGGAAUUUUGGACAAUGGACGCAAGUCUGAUCCAGCCAUUCCGCGUGCAGGAUGAAGGCCCUCGGGUUGUAAACUGCUUUUGUACGGAACGAAAAGGUCUCUCUUAAUACGGGGGACUCAUGACGGUACCGUAAGAAUAAGCACCGGCUAACUACGUGCCAGCAGCCGCAGUAA